UAGGUAGGUGGUCUCAUUUGUCUGGGGUGAAAGCCUUGGGCUUAACUCAAGAAGUGCCCCGGAAACGGUGAGACUGGAGUCCUGGAGAGGGUCGUGGAAUUCCCGGUGUAGCGGUGAAAUGCGUAGAGAUCGGGAGGAACACCAGAGGCGAAAGCGGCGACCUGGACAGGUACUGACACUCAACUACGAAAGCGUGGGGAGCAAACAGGAUUAGAUACCCUGGUAGUCCACGCUGUAAACGAUGAGUACUAGGCUUGGUGGGUCUUGACCCCUGCUGAGCCGGCGCUAACGCACUAAGUACUCCGCCUGGGAAGUACGGUCGCAAGACUAAA
rnacentral:rRNA from 1 species